rnacentral:rRNA from 1 species
GGUUAAGCGACUAAGCGUACACGGUGGAUGCCCUGGCAGUCAGAGGCGAUGAAGGGCGUGCUAAUCUGCGAUAAGCGCCGGUAAGGUGAUAUGAACCGUUAUAACCGGCGAUACCCGAAUGGGGAAACCCAGUGUGACUCGUCACACUAUCAUUAACUGAAUCCAUAGGUUAAUGAGGCGAACCGGGGGAACUGAAACAUCUAAGUACCCCGAGGAAAAGAAAUCAACCGAGAUUCCCCCAGUAGCGGCGAGCGAACGGGGAGGAGCCCAGAGCCUGAAUCAGCAUGUGUGUUAGUGGAAGCGUCUGGAAAGGCGCGCGAUACAGGGUGACAGCCCCGUACACAAAAGCGCAUGUGCUGUGAGCUCGAUGAGUAGGGCGGGACACGUGGUAUCCUGUCUGAAUAUGGGGGGACCAUCCUCCAAGGCUAAAUACUCCUGACUGACCGAUAGUGAACCAGUACCGUGAGGGAAAGGCGAAAAGAACCCCGGCGAGGGGAGUGAAAAAGAACCUGAAACCGUGUACGUACAAGCAGUGGGAGCACCCUUUGGGUGUGACUGCGUACCUUUUGUAUAAUGGGUCAGCGACUUAUAUUCUGUAGCAAGGUUAACCGAAUAGGGGAGCCGGAGGGAAACCGAGUCUUAAUUGGGCGUUAAGUUGCAGGGUAUAGACCCGAAACCCGGUGAUCUAGCCAUGGGCAGGUUGAAGGUUGGGUAACACUAACUGGAGGACCGAACCGACUAAUGUUGAAAAAUUAGCGGAUGACCUGUGGCUGGGGGUGAAAGGCCAAUCAAACCGGGAGAUAGCUGGUUCUCCCCGAAAGCUAUUUAGGUAGCGCCUCGUGAAUUCAUCUCCGGGGGUAGAGCACUGUUUCGGCUAGGGGGCCAUCCCGGCUUACCAACCCGAUGCAAACUGCGAAUACCGGAGAAUGUUAUCACGGGAGACACACGGCGGGUGCUAACGUCCGUCGUGAAGAGGGAAACAACCCAGACCGCCAGCUAAGGUCCCAAAGUCAUGGUUAAGUGGGAAACGAUGUGGGAAGGCCCAGACAGCCAGGAUGUUGGCUUAGAAGCAGCCAUCAUUUAAAGAAAGCGUAAUAGCUCACUGGUCGAGUCGGCCUGCGCGGAAGAUGUAACGGGGCUAAACCAU